rnacentral:lncRNA from 1 species
GGGUUUCUACAUUCUCCCCCCCUUAAUAGAAUUCGUCCUCGAAUUCUUGGUUGCGCAAUUGCUCGUCUUCACAACAUUCUCCACUCAUCUCCAUAACCUCUUUACGCUGUCCACCACAGUUCCUUGAGUGUCCUCUUCAAGGCCUCCACAAUUGUCUUCAUAUCUCAUCACUGGAAUGAUCACUGAGUCAUCCUCUUUCUUUUACUCUGCCAUAACACCCUCAUUCCCCAUGAUACUAUCUUGUCCAGAUUCCUCAAAUCCUUUCUCGAUCUUUGUCUUCCCAAUUACUGAUGAAGUCCUUCCCCAAUGAAGUCUUGUUUCCUCCCAUCUGUCCAGUCCAUACAACAGCCCAGUUCUCUGAAUCUGUCUCUCCUCUUUCGCUUCG